rfam:Triticum aestivum genome assembly, contig: Triticum_aestivum_CS42_TGACv1_scaffold_570027_7AS
AUUAUACUCCCUCCGUUCGGCAUUACUUGUCGCAAAAAUGGAUAUAUCUAGAUGUAUUUUAGUACUAGAUACAUCCAUUUUCGAGACAAGUAAUUCCGAACGGAGGGAGUAGUAU